CAGAGUAGAGGUUUGAGCGUUGCUUUUUAAGCUGAGUGCUUGGCAGACGGGGAGUUGCUGCCUGGACGAAUGGAUUUUUAUUCCUGCGGUUUGAACCUUGCAUCCCGCUG
rnacentral:ncRNA from 1 species